rnacentral:lncRNA from 1 species
CCGUAUUUGCCUAGGAGUGAUUCAUCUUAAAAGGCCGAAUUACCAGCGUAGCAUAUAUAAUAAGAGUGUUUUCAACUUAGUUUGUCAUAUUGAAAAUUAAAUCUCACCUAAUAUAACUGCUAAGAAAGUGUUAGAAAAAGAUGAUUCCCUCAUGAUGAGAGUUUUUCAUCCGUUCUUUUUCUCUCCCUCUUUUCCCUUAACUUCC